CGACGGCCUUUGCGUAUGAAAUAACUAACAAGACAGCAUAUAUUUAAAUUUCAUUGUAUGUUUAAUAUUGAUUGCCUUUUUUAUAGACCUUAUUCAUAAAUCGUGACGAGGCCUCGUAUCCUAGGGUACGGGGAAAAAACGCGGGAAAACAAGCGAAAACUGCUUGACAAGCCAAAUUCAAAUGCUAUAUAUCGACUUCAACGGCUUGUUUCUUGUUGUUUUU